rnacentral:tRNA from 1 species
GGAGGGAUGGCCGAGCGGUUGAAGGCGACGGUCCUGAAAAUCGUUAGCGGGGUAACUCGCUCCAGGGUUCGAAUCCCUGUCCCUCCGCCA